rnacentral:rRNA from 1 species
CCUACGGGAGGCUGCAGUGAGGAAUAUUGGUCAAUGGACGAGAGUCUGAACCAGCCAAGUAGCGUGAAGGAUGACUGCCCUAUGGGUUGUAAACUUCUUUUAUAUAGGAAUAAAACGAGGCACGUGUGCCUUUUUGCAUGUACUUUAUGAAUAAGGAUCGGCUAACUCCGUGCCAGCAGCCGCGGUAAUACGGAGGAUCCGAGCGUUAUCCAGAUUUGUGGGGUUUAAAGGGAGCGUAGAUGGGUUGUUAAGUCAGUUGUGAAAGUUUGCGGCUCAACCGUAAAAUUGCAAUUGAUACUGGCAGUCUUGAGUACAGUUGAGGUAGGCGGAAUUCGUGGUGUAGCAGUGAAAUGCUUAGAUAUCACGAAGAACCCCGAUUGCGAAGGCAGCUUACUAAACUGUGACUGACAUUGAUGCUCGAAGGUGUGGGUAUCAAACAGGAUUAGAUACCCGAGUAGUC